GGUAGGAUGGCCGAGGGUCUAGGCAGUGGGUUGUAGCUCCAUACACAAAGGUUUAAGUCCUUUUCUUAUC
rnacentral:tRNA from 1 species